rnacentral:rRNA from 1 species
UACGGAGGGUGCAAGCGUUGUUCGGAAUUAUUGGGCGUAAAGCGCGUGUAGGCGGUCUGUUAAGUCUGAUGUGAAAGCCCCGGGCUCAACCCGGGAAGUGCAUUGGAAACUGGCAGACUUGAGUACGGGAGAGGGUAGUGGAAUUCCGAGUGUAGGGGUGAAAUCCGUAGAUAUUCGGAGGAACACCGGUGGCGAAGGCGGCUACCUGGACCGAUACUGACGCUGAGACGCGAAAGCGUGGGGAGCAAACAGG